rnacentral:rRNA from 1 species
UACGGAGGAUCCAAGCGUUAUCCGGAUUUAUUGGGCUUAAAGGGUGCGUAGGCGGCUCAUUAAGUCAGGGGUGAAAGACGGUAGCUUAACUAUCGCAGUGCCUUUGAUACUGAUGAGCUUGAAUGUAGUUGAGGUAGGCGGAAUGUGACAAGUAGCGGUGAAAUGCAUAGAUAUGUCACAGAACACCAAUUGCGAAGGCAGCUUACUAAAGUAUGAUUGACGCUGAGGCACGAAAGCGUGGGGAUCAAACAGG